UUCGACACACUAUCAUUAACUGAAUCCAUAGGUUAAUGAGGCGAACCGGGGGAACUGAAACAUCUAAGUACCCCGAGGAAAAGAAAUCAACCGAGAUUCCCCCAGUAGCGGCGAGCGAACGGGGAGGAGCCCAGAGCCUGAAUCAGUGUGUGUGUUAGUGGAAGCGUCUGGAAAGGCGCGCGAUACAGGGUGACAGCCCCGUACACAAAAAUGCACAUGCUGUGAGCUCGAUGAGUAGGGCGGGACACGUGGUAUCCUGUCUGAAUAUGGGGGGACCAUCCUCCAAGGCUAAAUACUCCUGACUGACCGAUAGUGAACCAGUACCGUGAGGGAAAGGCGAAAAGAACCCCGGCGAGGGGAGUGAAAAAGAACCUGAAACCGUGUACGUACAAGCAGUGGGAGCACAGAGCAAUCUGUGUGACU
rnacentral:rRNA from 1 species